UCGAGCGGUAAGGCUCCUUCGGGAGUACACGAGCGGCGAACGGGUGAGUAACACGUGAGUAAUCUGCCCCUCACUUCGGGAUAAGCCUCGGAAACGAGGUCUAAUACCGGAUACGACCACUUCCUGCAUGGGAUGGUGGUGGAAAGUUUUUUCGGUGGGGGAUGUGCUCGCGGCCUAUCAGCUUGUUGGUGGGGUAAUGGCCUACCAAGGCUUCGACGGGUAGCCGGCCUGAGAGGGUGACCGGCCACACUGGGACUGAGACACGGCCCAGACUCCUACGGGAGGCAGCAGUGGGGAAUAUUGGACAAUGGGCGGAAGCCUGAUCCAGCAACGCCGCGUGAGGGAUGACGGCCUUCGGGUUGUAAACCUCUUUCAGCGGGGACGAAGCGCAAGUGACGGUACCCGCAGAAGAAGCACCGGCCAACUACGUGCCAGCAGCCGCGGUAAUACGUAGGGUGCGAGCGUUGUCCGGAAUUAUUGGGCGUAAAGGGCUCGUAGGCGGUUUGUCGCGUCGGGAGUGAAAACACCGGGCUUAACUCGGUGCUUGCUUUCGAUACGGGCAGACUAGAGGUAUUCAGGGGAGAACGGAAUUCCUGGUGUAGCGGUGAAAUGCGCAGAUAUCAGGAGGAACACCGGUGGCGAAGGCGGUUCUCUGGGAAUAUCCUGACGCUGAGGAGCGAAAGUGUGGGGAGCGAACAGGAUU
rnacentral:rRNA from 1 species